GACGAACGCUGGCGGCGUGCUUAGCACAUGCAAGUCGAACGAUGAAGCCCAGCUUGCUGGGUGGAUUAGUGGCGGACGGGUGAGUAACACGUGAGUAACCUGCCCUGGACUCUGGGAUAACCCCGAGAAAUCGGAGCUAAUACCGGAUAGGACCUUCUCCCGCAUGGGGGUUGGUGGAAAGUUUUUCGGUUUGGGAUGGACUCGCGGCCUAUCAGCUUGUUGGUGAGGUAACGGCUCACCAAGGCGUCGACGGGUAGCCGGCCUGAGGGGGUGACCGGCCACACUGGGACUGAGACACGGCCCAGACUCCUACGGGAGGCAGCAGUGGGGAAUAUUGCACAAUGGGCGCAAGCCUGAUGCAGCAACGCCGCGUGCGGGAUGACGGCCUUCGGGUUGUAAACCGCUUUUAGUAGGGAAGAAGGGCUUCGGCUUGACGGUACCUGCAGAAAAGGACCGGCUAACUACGUGCCAGCAGCCGCAGUAACAC
rnacentral:rRNA from 1 species